CAAGGCUCGCUUCGGCGGGUCG
rnacentral:snRNA from 1 species